rnacentral:sRNA from 1 species
CGGGACAACAUCUUCCGAAAUGUGGAGGUUCUGAUUUAUGUCUUUGAUGUGGAGAGCCGCGAACUGGAAAAGGACAUGCACUAUUACCAAUCAUGCCUGGAGGCCAUUCUGCAGAAUUCUCCAGAUGCCAAAAUAUUUUGCUUGGUACACAAAAUGGAUCUGGUACAGGAGGAUCAACGGGACCUGAUUUUUAAAGAGCGAGAAGAAGAUUUGAGGCGUUUGUCUCGCCCAUUGGAAUGUUCUUGUUUCCGAACAUCUAUCUGGGAUGAAACCCUCUAUAAGGUGUGUAUGUCUCCCUGAGUUCCCUCAUUUUAAGAGCAUGAAAAAAAACCUAGAAGGAUAUUAACAAAACUAAAAGAUUUUAAACUAUUUCAUAGCCAUCUAGAUUUGUUGUACUAAAAAGAAAAAUAACCUGCAACAAAUUGUUUGAAGAAUAUCAAACUUAACAUUAAGAGACUUGGGUUUUGAUCUUAGAUUGGGUUGACAUAGCUACCAAGUCACACUGAAUUAGCCAGUUUGGUCAUGAUUAAUUUGAUACUGGUCUUUGUAAUAGCAGAGGUUUCACUUACUGGCCAUCAUCCAUUUUGACCUGUUGUGGUCUCAAUGCUGAUUGGAGUUGUAUCUAGUAUUCAGGUACUUCUACAUGAUAUAAACUAGUCUGCCUAAGUUUGGAUGGCAAUAAAAUGAAAAUAUUUAGGGAAGAGAUUGG